AGGCAUUGAUCAGGGGACUUCCUAUCAUCCUCAAUGACUUCAUACCUGGACAGGAGGUUGGCAAUAUCCCAUAUGUAGUAGACAAUGGAGCUGGAGCUGGACUCUUGGCGCUUCCGUGAUUGCAGGAUGGUGGUAAUCUAUCUUAACUGAUGUUCUUGAUUGUUU